UGGUGGGCACUCUAAGGAGACUGCCGGUGACAAACCGGAGGAAGGUGGGGAUGACGUCAAGUCAUCAUGGCCCUUACGGCCUGGGCUACACACGUGCUACAAUGGUCGGUACAGAGGGUUGCCAAGCCGCGAGGUGGAGCUAAUCCCAGAAAACCGAUCGUAGUCCGGAUCGCAGUCUGCAACUCGACUGCGUGAAGUCGGAAUCGCUAGUAAUCGCGAAUCAGAAUGUCGCGGUGAAUACGUUCCCGGGCCUUGUACACACCGCCCGUCACACCAUGGGAGUGGGUUGCACCAGAAGUAGCUAGUCUAACCUUCGGGAGGACGGUUACCACGGUGUGAUUCAUGACUGGGGUGAAGUCGUAA
rnacentral:rRNA from 1 species